rnacentral:rRNA from 1 species
UACGUAGGGUGCAAGCGUUAAUCGGAAUUACUGGGCGUAAAGCGUGCGCAGGCGGUUCGCUAAGACCGAUGUGAAAUCCCCGGGCUUAACCUGGGAACUGCGCUUGUAACUGGCAAGCUUGAGUGUGGCAGAGGGGGGUGGAAUUCCACGUGUAGCAGUGAAAUGCGUAGAGAUGUGGAGGAACACCGAUGGCGAAGGCAGCCCCCUGGGCUAACACUGACGCUCAUGCACGAAAGCGUGGGGAGCAAACAGG